AGUGCUCCAGGAAAGUACCUGAUUGACAAGAUCUACAUCCAAUGCCCAGAAAACACAUCCUACACAGGCACAGUGAAGCGUGGAGUUGAAGAAUUUUCCAGAAAACCAGUUUGGCUAUUAAGGGAACCUGUCGACACAGAGCAGAGCAAGAUAAGGCCAGGUUUCAGAAAGAAUAGCUGUUUACCAUCAAAGCAACUGGGUUCCACACAGACAUGGUAUAUUAUACACAAAGACGAAGGAUAUGGGUCCACUCUCCGUCAAGGAAUGUUAUAAAUCCACGUGGUGUCCCUGGGUGUCAGGCUUGGCCAGAACAUCUGUGGCUGGAGAAGCCAAUGUGGCUCAGGAGCUCCCUGCUGGCUGCACAUCUGAACGGCUUCAGGAGUACAAGUUUCCCCAUCAAAGGUUUGGAAUAAAUUACACUAAAAAAUUG
rnacentral:lncRNA from 10 species